CCAGGUCCUAAAAGAUAAGCUGCGACUUAAUUUAUGAAGUUGGAUGAACUAUAUAGGAAAGUUCACAUUGACUUCAUGGGUUCACUUUCUCCUACACAAGAAACCUGAAGAUUAGUGAUAGCUUUGUGAUUCUGCCUGAACUCUUAGAAACAUCUGGCCUUUUAUAGUUUCCUGAUAGCAGUCAGGCAUUUUUGCUUUGGUACAUAGUAACAUAGUGUGUUAUUGUGAUGACUUAAUUACCCACAAAGGAAGGUGAUGGUUUUACACAAUGGCCAUGAAACAUUUGGAGUCUGGGUAGAAAAAAAUUACGUCUGGGGAAAAGAUCAAACACGAACUGGUUUUCCCUUUCUUUCUUUUCUUGAAAAUGGUUACAGUAAAUAAUACUCAGAAAAUCUUACCAUACAAGAAAUCUUAAUCUGUAAUUUCAGUUAUGAUGCUAAGUUUAUAAGGAGAAUACAGGAUGACAUGUAAAUGCCACCAAACCUAUUGGUUAAAGGCAGCAGAAGAAACCACGAUGCAUCUUCUGCCUUUUAAAUUCUAACAAUAGAAUAGCUCUGUCAAGUUUGGAUACGAUCUUCCUUUCAUGGUAAUAUAAACAUUGCUUGCAUUCUUAGCUGUACUGAAAUCUAUGACAGUUAUUUUAUUAACUUUAUCUGGGCCAGUUUUUAUCUUUUGUAUUUAUUUUAUACAUAUAAGGAAAUGUGAAUACCAACACACUGAAUGCCACUAUACUUUUUUAGUGCUUUUCUUUUUGUCUUUCUUCAUCUUUUUGUCUUUCUUUUUGUCACAAUAUCAGCUUGCAUUGUGAUGCUGCACCUGGCUCAGCAUGCGCACAUCUGAUGGAAUGUAUAUGGACACUGUGAAGGAGUAACGUAGGCAAAGGGUGAUUUAUGUCAAGUUGCUGCCUAUUUUGUAAAGCAGUAAUUUGAGAGGUUCGAGUCACCAUCAUCACUACUGAGGAUCCCGAUUUCAGCUGUUCCAGGUGGCUAGGCAAGAAACUCCUAGGUAGCAACAAGAUGAAUCUCACAACUGCAGCAAACAGAAAAAGUUUCUUCAGGAAGCCAGUAGGAAAAUACAGUGACAUCUGGAAACCUUGCCUCUCAUGUUACUGUAAGAAGGAUCUCACUGAGGGAAAGCUAAAAAGCUAUCUUAGUAACUUUAGACUUGCUUUUAGGAGAGGAAGAGUCACAUUCUGGAAAUGCCUGUGUCUCUCUGUUAACAGAAGUCAGUCCAAGGCUAGCCUUUCUUCCAUGGAUCUGACUGUUGGAAGCCAUAUGUCUAAGACAGUUGGAAGCUACUGAUUCUCCUGGCAGAGCUAAUCACUGAAGAUUUAUAUUAUAAGGUCAGAUUAUGUCCUAACAGGAGCAGAAAUUACCAUUGCAUGUUUAAAAGAAAGAUGAGAAACAUCCUCUCAACUGAGAUGGUAUGAAUGAUCAGUAAACAACUUGUGUACCUAUGGCUACAACACUGGCAUCAUUAGCCAGAUGUCUUUCAAGUUUGUGGACUGUGUUUGAACUACAGCCACUGUACAAUAAAUUAUUGCUGUUGUUCUGUGACAUUAAAGCUGUCAAUCUUCUGAUAAUCUCAGAGAAGUCUUUUAAAGAAGACACAACAACAGAGAGACACAUGACCCAAAUUCAUAUCCUGUUCACAGUAGGCUGAUGCAUGCCUUAUACUUAGGCCACGUGGUAUAAAUAACCUUGUUCUCUGAUUAUGCGACACUCAUCAGCUCCAUUCAGAAGGUUGUUUGAGAGAUUGGAAGCAGCAGUUGGCUGAACAUACCCUACUCCAUCGUCCAUACACUCCUUAUUAUUGAUGCUGCAAAGAAGGAACAAAAGUUUGGGCAAAGAAAUUGAAUAAUUUUCAUUUUCAGAAUGAAAUCCAUUCUUGCAGAGGCGGUGUCUAACUUCACUUUUGUGAAAAUCCAAGAGCCUGACAUAGAAAUUCUAAACAAAUGCCAGCAGUUAGAUUUUUAUUAAUUACUAAAACUAUGUUUUCCAACAAAGAAAGAACCUCAGUCUAAUUUUGGCACACAACAUACACAUGCUCAUGUUCCAAUUAUUCCACUCAUUUACAUAUACUGGAAAUGAAUCUAAGAAAAUUGUAGCAUCAAGACAGCACUGAGUAAUUUAAUAACAGAAACAAAUCAGGAUUUACUUAUCUAUCUGUGACAAUGAAAUGAUUAAAUAGCUUUUAAAUAUCUAAUAAAUUUUUGCUUUGUUUAUUAUGUUGACAAAGGCUUUUCAUUAAAUGUAAAAAUGUGGCCUCAUAGGGACUUACAUGUAACUACAAUGUAGUCCUACAGUUGUUAGUCAAAGAUGAUGCUGGCCAUUUGCCUUGCUGCCUACUUGAUCAAAAAUGUUUCUUCAAGAUCAAACCUGAACAGGACUAUCUACUAUUUAGUAGACUAUCUACUAGAAUUUUCUUAUCACAGUAAAGUUAUACAAGUCAUAUGGAAUGCUGAAAUGUUAAACUAUGUCUUUCAAAGGAACAAUUUGAAACAGCUGUUAUUUUUAUAAAAUACAGUGGUAAAA